UACCAGCACCCCCGAGUGGUCGGGACGUUUUAUUGGGCCUAAAGCAUCCGUAGCCGGUUCUGCAAGUCUUCCGUUAAAUCCACCUGCUUAACAGAUGGGCCGCGGAAGAUACUAUAGAGCUAGGAGGCGGGAGAGGCAAGCGGUACUCGAUGGGUAGGGGUAAAAUCCGUUGAUCCAUUGAAGACCACCAGUGGCGAAGGCGGCUUGCCAGAACGCGCUCGACGGUGAGGGAUGAAAGCUGGGGGAGCAAACCGG
rnacentral:rRNA from 1 species